CCAAUAGCGUAUAUUAAAGUUGUUGCAGUUAAAAAGCUCGUAGUUGAAUUUCGGGGUUAGUAGGUUGGUCAUGCCUCUGGUAUGUACUGGUCUCACUGAUUCCUCCUUCCUGAUGAACCUUAAUGCCAUUAAUUUGGUGUUUUGGGGAAUUUGGACUGUUACUUUGAAAAAAUUAGAGUGUUUAAAGCAAGCUAACGCUUGAAUACAUUAGCAUGGAAUAAUGAAAUAGGACGUUCGAUCCUAUUUUGUUGGUUUCUAGGAUUGACGUAAUGAUUAAUAGGGAUAGUUGGGAGCAUUAGAAUUCAAUUGUCAGAGGUGAAAUUCUUGGAUUUAUUGAAGACUAACUACUGCGAAAGCAUUUGCCAAGGAUGUUUUCAUUAAUCAAGAACGAAAGUUAGGGGAUCGAAGACGAUCAGAUACCGUCGUAGUCUUAAACAUAAACUAUGCCGACUAGGGAUCGGAUGAUGUUAAUUUUUUAAUGACUCAUUCGGCGCCUUACG
rnacentral:rRNA from 1 species